GGAAGAUGUCAGAGAAAAAAAACUGCUAUACAAGGGGAGUUUUCUCACUUUUAUCCUGUUAAAUCAUUUGAUUCAGUCUCAUGUGAUUUAAUUUCUGAAGUUAGAUUCAGCCAUCUUUUGUUUAGUAAGGAAGACCGCUUUUAGGAAGGCUUUUCUCCUUCGAGAAGUGACCUCGUUGAGCUCCUUAAUCAGAAAGAUUUCUUUUAGAGAUCAAGGCGCCUUUAGAGACAACCAUUAGUACCACCCAGGGUGAGAACUGUCCAGAUUUACAGGGUUGGCAUCUUGAAAGUUAUCUGUCAGGCCCAGUAAUCCUAAGACUUCUUGUUCUUUUCGUUCUGGAAGACAGUCCUGAUGGAGUUGCAGUCCAACUUGUGGUGGGUGCCAGGCUUCUUUUUUUGCCAAGAUUUUGCUGCUGUC